GCUGGGUAUGGUGGCUCAUGCCUAUAAUCCCAGCACUUUGGGAGGCUGAGGUGGGGGGAUCACCUGAGGUCAGGAGUUUGAGGCCAGCCUGGCCAACAUGGUGAAACCCCAUCUCUA
rnacentral:sRNA from 1 species